rnacentral:rRNA from 1 species
AUUGAACGCUGGCGGCAUGCUUUACACAUGCAAGUCGAACGGUAACAGGGGAGCUUGCUCCCGCUGACGAGUGGCGAACGGGUGAGUAAUGCAUCGGAACGUGCCGAAUAGUGGGGGAUAACGCACCGAAAGGUGUGCUAAUACCGCAUACGCCCUGAGGGGGAAAGUGGGGGACCGCAAGGCCUCACGCUAAUCGAGCGGCCGAUGUCGGAUUAGCUAGUUGGUGGGGUAAAGGCUCACCAAGGCGACGAUCCGUAGCGGGUCUGAGAGGAUGAUCCGCCACACUGGGACUGAGACACGGCCCAGACUCCUACGGGAGGCAGCAGUGGGGAAUUUUGGACAAUGGGGGAAACCCUGAUCCAGCCAUGCCGCGUGUCUGAAGAAGGCCUUCGGGUUGUAAAGGACUUUUGUCCGGGAGGAAACCCUGAUCGUUAAUAGCGGUCGGGACUGACAGUACCGGAAGAAUAAGCACCGGCUAACUACGUGCCAGCCGCCGCCGUUAAGAC